GCAUAUCAAUAAGCGGAGGAAAAGAAACUAACAAGGAUUCCCCUAGUAACGGCGAGCGAACCGGGAAUAGCCCAACUUGUAAAUCUCCCUCGGAGAAUUGUAGUCUACAGAGGCAUCUUCUGCAACGGCCGGACCUCAAGUCCCCUGGAAGGGGGCGUCAGAGAGGGUGAGAACCCCGUCGGGUCUUGGUGCGGUUGCCUCACGAAGUGCUUUCCAAGAGUCGGGUUGUUUGGGAAUGCAGCCCUAAUUUGGUGGUAAAUCCCAUCUAAGGCUAAAUAUUGGCGAGAGACCGAUAGCGAACAAGUACCGCGAGGGAAAGAUGAAAAGAACUUUGAAAAGAGAGUUAAAAAGUGCUUGAAAUUGUUGAGGGGGAAGCGAUUGGCAGCUGUGUGUGCACCCAGGCUUACGCCGCCUUAACGGGCGGCUGCAUGUGCUGGGUGCUGGUCAGCAUGGGUUAGCCUGGCAGGAUAAACGCAGGGGUUGCUACUCUGUCUAUACUGCCGGGCUGACCGAGGCGUGAAGGCCGCUCUUGUCCCUCGGGAUCUGCGGCCUCAAGAUGCUGGCGGAAGGCUUUCAAUCGGCCCGUCUUGAAACACGGACCAAGGAGUCUAACAUGUAUGCGAGCUGGUGGGUGGCAAACCCAUGAGGCGCAAGUAACCUGACUGGUGGGAUGGCGUAAGCCUGCACCAUCGACCGACCAUGAUCUUCUGUGAAAGGUUCGAGUACGAACAUACCUGUUGGGACCCGAAAGAUGGUGAACUAUGCCUGAGCACGGCGAAGCCAGAGGAAACUCUGGUGGAGGCUCGUAGAUGUGCUGACGUGCAAAUCGCUUUUCGGACUUGGGUAUAGGGGCGAAAGACUAAUCGAACCAUCUAGUAGCUGGUUCCCUCCGAAGUUUCCCCCAGGAUAGCUGGAGCUUGAUCAGUUUUAUCGGGUAAAGCUAAUGAUUAGAGGUUCGGGGGAUGAAACAUCCUCCACCUAUUCUCAAACUUUAAAUAGGUAAGACGUGUGGGUUGCUUGAUUGAACCCAUGCAUUCAAUGAGAGCUCCAAGUGGGCCAUUUUUGGUAAGCAGAACUGGCGAUGCGGGAUGAACCGAUAGUCGAGUUAAGGUGCCAGACUACGCGCUAACCUAGAUCCCACAAAGGGUGUUGAUUGAUACAGACAGCAGGACGGUGGUCAUGGAAGUCGAAAUCCGCUAAGGAGUGUGUAACAACUCACCUGCCGAAUCAAUUAGCCCCGAAAAUGGAUGGCGCUGAAGCGCGUGACCUAUACUCGGCCAUGGGGGCAAGUGCGAAGCUCCCAUGAAUAGGAAGGCGUGGGUGUCGCUGCGCAGCCUGGGGCGCGAGCCCGGGUGAANCGGCACCUAAUGCANAUCUUGGUGGUAGUAACAAAUAUUCCAAUGAGAACUUUGAAAACUGAAAGGGGAAAAAGGUCCAUGUGAACAGCAAUUGGACAUGGGUUANUCGGUCCUAAGGGAUGGGGCAAUCCUGUGUGAANAGCGCGAUUCGCGCUGCCCACCGAAAGGGAAAAGGGUUAAGAUUCCCUUACCUGGACAAUGCGGCUGACUGUAACNUAAACGAACUCGGANACNUCGGCAUCGGCCCUGGGAAGANUUCUCUUUUCUUUUUAACAGCUCGAANGCCCUGGAAUCGGAUCAUCCGGAGAUANGGCUCAGCAUCCUGGUAAANCACCCCACGUCUCCCGGUGUCGGNGCCCCUANGACNGUCCCUNANANUCCUACGGANCGGCUACCGAUCUUCCAGGUCUUACUCAUUACCGCANNAUGUCUCCANNNNNNNNNNNNUCUAGUCGAUAGAANAAUGUAGAUAAGGGAAUCGGCAAAAUNGAUCCGUAACUUCGGGAUAAGGAUUGGCUCUGAGGGUCGGGUAUNGGGGUC
rnacentral:rRNA from 1 species